rnacentral:lncRNA from 1 species
CGCGCGGGGACCCGGCCGCGGGACGAGGGAGGCCGGCGGCUGGACACUACCUGCGGGAGAGCGAGUGAGGUUCUGGCCCUCCGAGUUGACCGCCUGCAGGUGUUUACAGAACAUCCACGGAGUUUGGGCCAAGCCCAGAGUGAGGAGCUGGGCACUGGGGUGGCAGAAGACCAGGCCUUGCCUUGAGCCCUUGUGCGAGCUUUACCUCAAAGCCUCUGUAAUCGAAGUGGGAGAAGGGGUGGUGGUGCGUGGUUGGUCUCAGCCACCUCCACCACUCCUCAGAAGAUGAACGCUGGAUCCAGGAAGAGAUUGUCAAGCCUCCCAAGCCCUGUGGGGACAGUGCACACAGACUAUGAUGGAUGCCUGAAGUGGGUUGCAUUACAAGAGAGGAGCACUGAGCUAAAGGAAUUUGCCUCUUUUAGGCUACACAGAAUUAAGCCUGCUCUUUGAAGGUGGGGAGAUGUUAUCUCAUCCCUCAAACGUUGCUUGCUACAAACACCGCCCAGA